AUUUAAAUAGCUUAUUUAUUAGAGCGUAACACUGAAGAUGUUAAAGAGGUUAUUAAAUCUUUAAAUA
rnacentral:tRNA from 1 species